GACGAACGCUGGCGGCGUGCUUAACACAUGCAAGUCGAACGAAGUGGCGAACGGGUGAGUAACGCGUAAUCAACCUGCCCUUCAGAGGGGGACAACAGUUGGAAAGUACUGCUAAUCCCGCAUAGUGAUGGCGGGUAUUGCGUCUGAUUAGCUAGGUGGAGGGGUAACGGCCCACCAAGGCGAUGAUCAGUAGCCGGUUUGAAGGGAUGAACGGCCACAUUGGGACUGAGACCAGGGCCAGACUCCUACGGGAGGCAGCAGUGGGGAAUCUUCCGCAAUGGACGAAAGUCUGAAGGAGCAACGCCGCGUGAGAGAUAACGGCCUUCGGGUUGUAAAGCUCUGUUAAUCGGGACGCGGUACCGGAAUAGAAAGCCACGGCUAACUACGUGCCAGCAGCCGCGGUAAUUC
rnacentral:rRNA from 1 species